GGGAAAAACAAUACGCAAAAAGAAAACGCCAAAAGCUUAAGAAGAAGAAGAAAAACGUGAUCAUCUUCUUAACUGAAGAAACAAAAACCAGCAACCAGACGACCCCUAGCAGUCGACGAGCAGCAGCUGCUGCUUUCGUCUUCAGCCCAUCAGAUAGCCUCACGUCGCCCAGCCUCCAUUAAACCAGCCGGAAAAAUCAGAAACAAUCCACAGCCGUCUCUCUUCAUAUUCUUCCUCAAGGAGCUCGCCGGAACGAGUUCCAACAGAAAACCAGCAAACUCAGAGAAAACUCCAUCAAAACAACCUGAAAGCAGCCCGAAGCAACCCCAAACCAUGAACUACUGUCAUGGAGUUCGUUAGGUUCGUUUUUUGGUCUAUUUUGAGUUCUCCGGUGAACGUCGAGGUCAUCAAAAGUCCCUGUUCGAGUUUCUCUUUCCGGUCCAGUCCUUGUUGCUGAUUUGUGACGAGAUUAUUCCUUCAAGCUUUAACUCUGAGAUUCGAGGUUGUUUGUUCAAGCUGUCGACGAGGGCUUCGUUCUUAGCUCGACGUUUCCGGUCUCGCAUGAUUUCAGUCAAGGUGUUUCGAUCGUGGUCGAAAAAUUCAGAUUCAAAGCUUUAUUUUGGGUGGAAACCCGUUGAGGUCAAUUUUAGUAUUUCUUUAUUUAAUAACACAUGAUAUUUUGAUGCUCUGUUUAGUGCUUGUGGGUUGAAUGAAUCUGCAUUUCUAAUGAGUUUGUCAUUGCUUCUGAAUUAAUUUCUAUGUCUGUCUUUGUAGUGCUGCUAUUAAAAAUUACUAGAGUGAUGAACUUGGAAUUAAGAUAUAAGUUUCCAUAGAUAAUCUACAGUUCGCAUGUUGAUUCGGAAUUGGAC
rnacentral:lncRNA from 1 species